AGCUAUGAUAAAACUCAAAUUUGAUCUCUUGUUCUCGCUUAGCCAAAGUGUUCGGCAUGAAACUGCAGUCCGUUUCAAGUACCGAACUGCGUCUGCACGCUAAAGCUUCUAUUUGUUCAGCACUCUAGCCAUGAGCCCAUGACUCAGGUAAUGCUAAGCUGUGAGGUGAACUUCCCAGCCUAAACAUAUAACAAGAAAAUUCAACGUCUCAUGAUAAUUUUUUUUCUCACCGCUUCAUGUGGACGCAUAACAAGAAAUUCAACAUUAUUCACGUGUCCAGAACCAUCGCUAACAAAGUAACACUUCGCUCAUCAAUUAAUUUUCCACCCCCCUUACAUAUGGAGUACUGUUGGUGCAUUUCAGCCUUCUGCAUACAGCAUACCUAGUGUACGACACUAAUGAUGGUUCAUUAAUCCAGUUCUACAUGUCGCAAACGAAAAUUAGAUUAAGUCCAUCUUUACCAGUAAUUUCAGUCAGUCUAAUCUAAAUGAUAUUUUUCUUUUUCGUUUAUCUAAAUACAAGUUCAGUUUAAAGUUUAAAUCUUGUGAGGUGGCCCCUUCACAAGACAAUGCUGGGAUCUCCUACAAUUGCAAAUCCAAGACAACAUGUAUGGCUAUGACAUCCUACAGUCACUGAAGGGCAGAUUGCACAUCCUUUCUUCAUGAAAAUCAUGAUUCUUAUGAGCUGGGGCAUUUGGC
rnacentral:lncRNA from 1 species